UUGGCCUUAGGAUUUGUCCAAAUGGGUUGGUUCUGUUCUUUGUCUCUCUCGAAACCUCUCUAUCUUCGACGAUUUCAUCAUCGUGACGGUUUUGUUCUUUCGAUUAGUCUCCAUCAAGCAAUCCUCUCUCUCUCUCUCUCUCUCUCUCUCUCUCUCACACACAGCAUCGCAGAGGCUACGAACGUUCGUGAGAUUGAGAGCGACAUCGAAAGGCGCAGGGAGAGAGAUUAGACUGUUGUCAUCUUUGAUUAUAUUUCACCCCUUUGAGUCUGCUCUCGAUGCCCUAAACCAAGUUAACGCCGUCUCUGAAGGGGUUAUGACUGCCGAGCUUAGAAGUUUUCUGGAGUUGAAUCUUCCUAAGGUCAAAGAAGGCAAGAAACCCAAGUUCAGCUUAGAAACCUCUGAGCCUAAACACGGUUCCCACAUAUUGGAAGCCACCAAAAUCCCCUGCCAGAGCAAUGAGUUCGUUCUUGAGCUUCUCCGUGGUGUGCGUCUGCAGUUUGACAGCAUGGUGAUCUGGAAAAGUCUUUUUCUUGACCUCUUCUAAAGACAAGGGAGCUGAGUCAGAUGCCGAGUUCUUGAGUCAGAUGAUGAUGCUCAGGAAUGGUUUUGUAAUGGGAAGGACAACAGAUUCGCUUGAUCAUUUCCACAACUUGAGGCUUGAUGUUGAUAGUAUGUCAUACGAGGUUGGUUUAAUUGAAGGGCGAGUUGAUGUCCAUCAUCUGGAUGUUUUGAGAAUUGAUUUCGACGAAGCGAUUUUAUACCAAAGAACAAACCUGAUCAGUGCGAAUCAAGGACGUCGGUGCCCAAAACUCACAGGAGUGGGAGCUUCCACAGUGUUCACAAGAUAUUGUUGGGAGUACUUUAACCUUCCAAUUGAACCUAUCCCACUUCAACUUGACUGCAAAGCAUCAGAGCUUCACUGUUUCCUACAUUUAGGAACCAAUCAGCGUCCACCGCAGUCUAAUUUGGAGGUUCUGGGUGGGAAUAACAAUCUGGGAGAUGAUAUGUAAGGUGCUGGAGCAGUCAAAAAGAGCAACGUUUCUGGAGUUAAAAUAACCUCUGUGGAUUAUGGUACCUGUGUUGGCGAUGAAGCGGUUGAAGGUGGACUAGCUGAUGCAAAUGCUCCAGGUCACAACUCUGUUAAUUGAAGGGAGAAGAGAGGAGUCACCAGUGAAGGAAAAUGGGUGCUCUGGAAAGAAGGCACCAAUUGAUUGACAUCGAAAGAGCAAGAGGAACCAAAGUUACAAGACACGAUGAUUUUUUCGUUGCAUUUCCCGACAUUAUCAUAUCAAGUCCGACUACUUCAAAAAAUUUAUAUCAUUGGUUUCCUUCGGUUUUUAAACUCCACCAUAUCAGACUUUUUCAGUUAUAAAAUAAGGCGUCCUGUUUGGCAAAAAGACAUUUUUCCUAACAAAUCAUAAUCAAAUAUUAACAAUUAGUAGA